GGAGGCUGGAGGAGGCUGCCGUGGCUGCCGAAGGUGGAGGAGGCUGCCGAAGGUGGAGAAGGCUUCUGUAGGUGGAGGAGGCUGCUGAAGGUGUAGGCAGAGACUUCUUCGCUUGGCUUUUGCUGCCCAGCUGUGUCAUAUUCACUCAUCAUUGACUGAUGACCCCUGAACAGAUUUCCGGCCCUUCUUCAUACACCUUGUCUUCCACCUUCACAGUCAUGGCACAACACUCAGGAGUGCUGUGAGUUGCAUGACACCUGCAGAGGCUCCAUACUACAGACUACUUCUACUCGGUACUACAGAAACCGGAUCACUUGACAAGCCUGUGUCCUGUUUUGGCCUUCCACACUCUGUAGGAUUGCAUAGGCUCCAUUUCUUCUCCCACAUCACCAUUCCAAAACAACUCCAGAUGUUUCGUUUGUAUUAUGGCCAGUUUCUUUACAUCUGUUACACUACCUGUGUUUUGCACCCAAAACUGGACUGCUCUAUCUGUUUCUUGUUUUUUAUCAUUAUCACUUGCAUUGCUGUAAAUAUGUUCCAUUAGCUCAGUUUUGCAACUAUGAAGUGUACAGUUUUGUUGUUGUAUUACUGUUACGCUGAGCAAAAAGAAACCUCAAACCUUA